UACGUAGGGUGCGAGCGUUGUCCGGAAUUAUUGGGCGUAAAGAGCUCGUAGGCGGCUUGUCACGUCGGUUGUGAAAGCCCGGGGCUUAACCCCGGGUCUGCAGUCGAUACGGGCAGGCUAGAGUUCGGUAGGGGAGAUCGGAAUUCCUGGUGUAGCGGUGAAAUGCGUAGAUAUCUGGAGGAACACCGGUGGCGAAGGCGGCAUCCUGGACCGGCAUUGACGCUGAGGCGCGAAAGCCAGGGGAGCAAACGGG
rnacentral:rRNA from 1 species